GGAUGCGAUCAUACCAGCACUAAAGCACCGGAUCCCUUCAGAACUCUGAAGUUAAGCGUGCUUGGGCGAGAUUAGUACUAGGAUGGGUGACCUCCUGGGAAGUCCUCGUGUUGUAUUCC
rnacentral:rRNA from 1 species